GGGAAAUAGAGAGGAAGGUAUACUGUAUAUAGUGCAACAUACAGUACCAUUUACCCCCCCCCCAAAAAAAGAGUAACACAUGGUGACAAGACAGAAUGGAGAAUUCACACAAUUUUUCUUCAUUUAUAGGUUUUAAAGUAAACAAUCAAGAUCUUCAAGUUGUAGCAGAAUUAUCAGGAGUCUUGGAAGCUCCAGAUGAUUUUCUGUCAUUAGAGUUACGCACUUUGUUCAAUGAUUUGCUACCGGAGCCAGAAAAUGUCCAGUGUAACGAAUUUGUUCAAAAAUAUUUGUUACUUAAACAAAAAUACCAGGAUUCGAUAAGUGAAUAAAAUUUUGUAAAAUGAUGAUCAUGUAAAAUGCUGAAGCAUCAGUUAAAACAAG